rnacentral:rRNA from 1 species
AACGAACGCUGGCGGCGUGCCUAACACAUGCAAGUCGAACGUGAUUGGAAGCUUGCUUCCAUGAAAGUGGCGCACGGGUGAGUAACGCGUAGAUAAUCUACCUGAUGGAUCGGGAUAACACUUCGAAAGGGGUGCUAAUACCGGAUAAGCCCACGGAGUCCUUGGACACUGCGGGAAAAGGAGGGGACCUUCGGGCCUUCCGUCAUCAGAUGAGUCUGCGUACCAUUAGCUAGUUGGUAGGGUAAAGGCCUACCAAGGCGACGAUGGUUAGCUGGUCCGAGAGGAUGAUCAGCCACACUGGAACUGAGAAACGGUCCAGACUCCUACGGGAGGCAGCAGUGGGGAAUUUUGCGCAAUGGGGGAAACCCUGACGCAGCAACGCCGCGUGAGUGAUGAAGGCCCUUGGGUCGUAAAGCUCUGACAGAGGGAAAGAAAUGUGGGUGGCUAAUAUCCAUUCCACUUGACGGUACCCUCAAAGGAAGCACCGGCUAACUCCGUGCCAGCCGCCGCCGUAACAC